CAUGUUGUUAAUUUCUAAGGAGAAAAAGAAAGAACACCAGAGAGUUUUCACCCCAUCAGUUAUAGAGCCAUCUUUUGGCAUUGGUCGAAUUAUAUACUGCCUCUAUGAGCACUCUUUCUAUACAAGGCCAAGUAAAGCUGGGGAUGAACAGUUAAAUGUUUUCCGUUUCCCCCCUCUUGUGGCACCUAUUAAGUGCACUGUUUUCCCACUGGUUCAGAAUCAACAGUAUGAUGAGGUUGCCAAAGUCAUUUCCAAGUUAUUAAAAGUUGCUGGAAUCUCUCACAAGAUUGACAUAACAGGUUUGUGCUCUGGAUAAAUAGUCUUUCAUGGUUAAAGUUUCUGGCAACCAUUUUAUCGAUUAAUAAAAUAUUCCUCAGAAAAGUUCUGACUAAACAAACAUGUAUUAGUUGAUUUGAGCUCAUCACUUAGAAACUGUGAAAUAUUAAUACUCUGAUGACUCCUGAUUUUCAUCAAUUUCGUUUUGAGAGAGCCCGAUAUUUAGGCCAGCUAGUUGAUCAAAAUGACUAUACUCAAACAUCUCAAUUCAGAGAUGGGUAUGUGGUAGGAUGGGGAUUCUUUGCCAAAUUAGGGACAGUGACAGGCCCCUGGGGCCAUUUUCCUUCCUGACUUGCAUGAUUGCAUAUAUGCAUGGUUGUCUACGAUGUAUUUAUAAAUAAGAAUUCAGCCAUUUAAGAUUAUCUAGACUUGUUUACCGCUGGGCUGGGUGACUGACUGGUAUGAGUUCAAAUUUUGGUAUACAAAUCUGGAAGCCGCUUAUCCUUUUGAAGAGAUUUAACUACUUGCUGGUGUGGAUGCUGUCUUUCAUUGCUAAGGCAACCAAAAAGGCACCUUGGACUGAUAUUGUUAUACAUUUAUGCCGUAGAUUUCUUGAAAAUCAUAGAGAAAAUUGCAUAUGUGUAUAUGGUAACCCAUAUGUUCCAGGAAGAUGUUCUUGGAUGUAAAUAUUUCUCGGUGUACGUUAUGGUUAUUUGUGUUCCAAAGUCCAAAUGAGGGGGUUAUUUCCAUCUUUUUUCCUCAUGGUUAAAUCAUCUCUGAAUAUUAUAUAAUAACUCCAUGCUUUUUGUUCUAUUAAUAUUCUAGUACAUUUUUUUGGGUCCAUGAACAUCUGACGUUACUGUUAUUGUGUACUAAUAUGUGCAGGCACCUCCAUAGGGAAACGGUAUGCAAGAACAGAUGAACUUGGUGUACCGUUUGCUAUAACUGUUGAUUCAACAUCCUCGGUGACAAUCCGAGAGCGAGAUAGCAAGGAUCAAAUCCGUGUCAGCCUGGAUGAGGCAGCAUCAGUUAUAAAGGCUGUAACCGAUGGACAAACGAAGUGGGAAGAUGUGUGGUCAAGUUACCCACAUCACUCCUCUGAGUCAGCGGAUGACUAAACUGUAUAACUCCCACCAUUGGGAUUAGUGUAUCCUACUAUGAUCUUUCUUGAUGACACAUCUUGGGUUAGGAAAAAAAAAGAAGAAAAUCUCAAUUCAACUUUUAUUUCUGUAACAAAAAAUUUAGGAACCUUUUUGAUGUUUGAGUACAGGACUCAAUAUAUUAAAGCCGAAUCCUUAUAUUAAAGCCAAAUCCAAAGAUUCAUGAUCUCACCAGCUAUGUUAACACUUUCUUUUGCCCCUCUCGGCACAGAAUCAUUCUUCCGCUGUUCGUCUACUGUUUAUGUUGUCUUCAUUUGUGUCAUGUUUUUGCAAUUGCCAGUUUUUGCCGUAGCAUUUUAGCAAAGAGUAGAUUAGUUGUAAGUUUUUACCCUAGCAUUUUAGCAAAGAGUAGAUUAGUUGUAAGUUUUUACUUCUAACGACCCUUCUGUACUUCUAUGUAAAGAAUAUUGUUUUCUGAAAUUUGAUAAUCUUGGUAAUAAUGGUCAGACUUAAUUAAAUCAUAUUAUUUGAUCUUCCAUGGGUUUGAGGUCUUAGGGAUCCAUUUCAAAUGUGAUAAAUUUUAAAUAAUCUUUAGGAAAUGGAGUGAGAAAUAAAGAAAAAAUAAUCCUAACGUCAAUAGGGUGAGAUUUGGUUUUAUAUUUACCACCCCAAUUCCUAUUAUAUAAAUAUUUUUUAUUUUGUUAAUUAUAAUGUUGGUUAAUAAAUUUUGUUUUAUUUUUACCUAAUAUAAAAAUAGUAUUAUUAUGUUUCCUUUCUUUUUUAAAGUGUUGUUCUCUUUAAAUAUUUUACUAUUUUAAUAUCAUUUUAAAAUAUUGUUUCAAACUUUUGAAGAUAUUUUUAAUAAUUUAAAUACUUUAUAAUAUGAUUAUGAUUUUAUUUAAGUUUUUAAAUUUUAGUAUUGAAAUUAUGUACCCGUUUCUACUAUAAAAUAAAUAAAUAAACGAGGAAUGAGGCGGAAAUAGGGAAAUCAUUUCCUACAUGAGGAUUUUCUAUUCGUACUCCAAUAAAUUUUUUGGGAAAUGAGGUGGAGAAUGGGAACGAAAUUUUUAGAAGGGUGGGGAAUUGGGUAGGGCUCCUCCCCCUCACCUCAUUUCACCCUAUUGUCAUCCCUAAUUGUAAAGACAACUUUAUAUAUAUUAAUUUCAAUUAUUUGGGGGCCACUCAAAAUUAUUUUUAAGAGAUUCAAAAGUGAUUUUGAAAAAUUAAAAAUUAAUUUGUAGUGUUAUAGUAAUUUUUUUAAAUCACUAUUAUUAAAAUUACAUUAUCCUACAAAAGAUUUUAAAAAGGGAUGAGUAAUUUUUUAAAAUUCAUAUUGAAAAUUGAUUUUAUAUAUUAGUUUCAAUUUCGUUUGGAUUUUCUCAUUAGGCACCCUAUUGUCUCACCAAUUUAUACUGUUGGAUUUAAGUCCAACAGUAUAUGCUGGUAGCGGCUGGAAGAAAAAUAAGUUAUUUAGGGUUUUUGGUUUAUACCCCAUGGCACCCUAUAGUUUCAUUAUUUUACGGUAGCCUAAGUGUUUUUGGUUUUGGGCAGAAAAAUUCAAAUUUAUUUAUAUUGGAUCCAAGUCCAUUAUUGGCUAUCAAUUGGAUAAUAUACAUAGAAUUUUGAUAAGCCCAAUAGUUAUUAUUUGUCCAAAUUUAUGUAUAUUGGUCCCAAGCCCAUUUAAGAGAUUUCAAAAUUGAAAUGAAAAUUUGGUAGAUCCAUAAUAAAAUUUAUUUGGCUUAAGAAUUUUUGAAGAUAAAUUUGGGCUUAUUUUAUUAAACUAAUUGGAUCUAUAUAUAUAUAUAUAUUAAAAAAAUAAGACCCAAUAGAAUUUUUAUUUAUGUGUCCAAAUUUAAAUUUAAAAAUUGAACCACGCAUAAAUUUUAAAAGCCCCAUAGUCCCCAAGCCAAUAGUUAUAUGGAUAAGAGCAAUACAAGGAAAGGAAAGAAGAAAGAGGGACGUUGACUUGAAACCCAAUAGAUAUUAGGCUUAUAGAUUAAGUCGAUUUUUUCUUAGGAAAAUCAUGAAUUGAGAUUGUUUAAUUAUUUUUAUCUAUAUGGUUAAUAAUAUGUCAUGAUAACAUGUCAUAUAAAAUAGGAAGUAUCACUUUAUGCAUCAUAAUACUGGUAUCAUAAAAUACAUGGCAUCUAUAGAUUAUGAAUCUAGAUAUAUAUAUUGUUUGACAUUUGCAUGUGCUUAAUAAUAUUAGAUUUGUUCUAGAUAAUAUUAUUUUAGGAAGCAUCCAAUUAAUAAUAUAAGAUAUAAUCUGUACUUGUCUGAAAGGAAAAACUAACUUUAAAGUAUUGAGUGGGAGAGGGAAAAUUUAAGAUUAUUUUUCUCACGGGCUCCCUUGUUAGUUCAAUAAUAAAAUUAUAUAUAUACCUCAACUUCAUGAUACAAUGUUAUUCCCUACAGAGAGUAUAUAUAUUAGACAUUUUAUUUAAUGAACUUCUUUAUAGAUGAGAUUGAAUCUGGUGAUCACCCUAACAGUGGCUACAUGAUAUGAAAGAUACGUAGAUUAAAAAAAUGGUUAUACACUCAACAAAAAUUUGUUAGCCUUCCCAACAAAGCUCUAUUAACAAAUUUUGGCCCUAAAAGAUAACGAUAAUUAUUUAUCAUGUUUCGACAUGAAAGUAAAUAAUCUAAUGGUUAAUUGAGUCUAGUAAGUGUAGGCAUGACUUUCCUAACGAAUAGCUUGCCAAAGCAGUACUAAAUUAUUGUUACAAUAAAAUAAAAUACUUUAUUUUUUUGCAUUUUAGAUUAUUUAUUGUGAACAUUAUUUGUUUCAAAGUGUUUAUACAUGUCUAUUUUAUUUUUCAGAAAAUGUCUUCCCUAAACCCACUGACCAUUAUUCUGAGUCAAAACAAACUCAUUAACGAGAACUACAUAGAUUGGAAACGAAAUCUAUUUAUAGUCCUAACUGCUGAAAAUUAUAAAUAUAUCUUAACCCAACCAUGUCCUCCUGAACCAGCAGAGGACGCUAGUAGAAAUCAGAUGAGGCUUUAUGAAAAUUGGCAAAAUGCUACAUUUUACCCUCUAUUUCUAAUAUUCUGCAAACCAAACAUCAGAACAUGGAAAUAGCCACUGAAAUAAUGGAGAGUCUUCGAGAGAUGUUAGGGCAGAGUACUCGCUUUGCGAGACAAGCAACGCUGAAAGGUAUUAUGAACUCCAAGAUGGGAAAGAGUACAAGAGUUCGUGAUUAUAUCUUGAAAAUAAUAAAUCAUUUGAAUGAGGCUGAGAUUAAGGGUGCACAUAUCGAUGAUAAUUUAAAGAUUGACAUGGUGCUAGAAUAUCUGCCUAAAACAUUCAAGGAGUUUAAGGUCAAUUAUAAUAUGAAUAAAAGAAAUAUGACUUUAAUAGAAUUGAUGAAAGAACUUCAUUCAACUGAAGAGAUUUAACUUGUUGAAAAAUCUCAAGGAAGCAUUAACCUUACUAAAAAAAAUGUACUUCUUUUAAGCCUAAGCCAAAAGGCAAAAGGAAUAAAGUUGAGAAAAAGAAACCGUUUACUAAGAAAGAUGGCAAGUCGAAAGGCAAGUGCGUCAAGUGUGGACAAAAGGGUCACUAGAAAAACGAUUGUCCUAAGAUUGUAAAAUCAUGUAUGGAAAAUCUUUUAGUCAUAGAGACUUACUUAGUUCAUAAUCUUGUUGACAGUUGGGUCUUGGAUUCUGGAGCAACUAAUUAUAUUUGUAAUUCAUUUUUUUGGUUUCAGGAAACUAGGAAACUAAGUGAAAAAAGCAUUAAACUACAGUUAGGGACAGACCAAUUCGUGUCAGCAGUGAAGACUGGAUCUGUUUUAUUAUCUUUUAUUAAUGAGACUUCAGUUUUGAAUAAUUAUCUUUAUGUUUCAGACAUUAAGAGGAAUUUAAUUUUAGUAGUUUGUUUGUCAAAAUAAGGGUACACUAUAAAUUUUAGUUCCUCUAUUUCUAUUUUGAAAAAUAAUAGACUAAUAAGUUCUGGUACAUUGGAAGAUAAUUUCUAUAAUUUAAGUCCUUUAAUCUAUUAUAUGCAUGCCACAGUAAUUGAAAAUAAUGAGCAUAUGCACUUAUCUAAGAAAAGAAAGAUUUCUUCUAACCAAUGUUACCUCAGGCAUUUGCGUUUAGGUCAUAAAAACCUGAAUAUGAUAUAGAGAAUGAUCAAAAAUGGACUUUUAGGUCCAUUGAAAAAUGAAUCAUUGCCACUCUGUGAAUCUUGUUUAGAAGAAAAAAUGACCAAAACGCCUUUCUCGGCUAAAGGAAUACGUGCAACAGUACUACUUGAAUUGGUACAUACAGAUGUAUGUGAACCAAUCAAUGUACAAGCUUGAAGAGGUUACGAGUAUUUCAUCACAUUCACUGAUGAUUAUUUAAGAUAUAGUUAUGUUUAUCUAAUACGUCAUAAGUCUGAAGCUCUUGAAAAAUUCAAAGAGCACAGGACUGAGCCAGAAAAAUAAUUAGGUAAGAACAUAAAAAGACUUCGAUUUGAUUGAGGGGAUGAAUAUCUCUCAGGAGAAUUGAAAGAGUAUCUGGUUGAAAAUGAGAUUAUAUCUCAACUAACAACUCCAGGAAUACCACAACAAAAUGGUGUAGCUGAAAGAAAAAAUAGAACUCUUUUGGAUAUGGUGAGCUUUAUGCAUAGUUAUUCUAUAUUACCCAUCUCAUUUUGGGAACUAACGCUAGAAAUAACGACAUACAUAUUAAACUUAAUUCCAUCUAAGUCAAUGCCUAGAACCCCAAUAGAAUUAUGAUCAGGUUGCAAACCAAGUUUGAAACAUAUCCAUAUUUAGGGUUCACCAGCACAUGUGCUAAAACCAAAGGCCGACAAAAGAGAUUCACGUUUUGAGGUUUGUAUGUUUGUUGGGUAUCCCAAAGGAAUACAGAGAUGUUUAUUUUAUAAUCCUCAAGACAUAAAAGUAAUUAUUAGUACACAUUUUACUUCUAUUAAGGAAGAUUAUAUGAAUAACUUCAAACCUAAGAGUAAGGCAAUACUGGAAGUGUUAUCAAGAGAUCAUGUUGAUGCUCAUAUUUCGGUACCUGUUAAUCAACAAGAAGAAAAGCAACAAUAUGACCAUUAUAAUAUUACCCUUGAACAACAACCACCCAUAGAACCUCGUCGUAGUGGGAGGGUAAUUAAAUUACCAGCACGGUACAUGUUACUAGGAGAAACUUUUACAUCUAUCUCAGAUGGACAAGUACAUGAUCCCACUAGUUACAAUAAAGUUAUAUUAGAUGGAGAUACUGAACUAUGGAAAAACGUUGUAAAUUAAGAAAUUGAAUUUAUUUAUUCCAAUAAAGUUUGAGAACUUGUAAAGGCACCAAAUAGGGUAAAACUUAUAGGGUGUAAGUGGAUUUACAAGAGAAAAAUAGGGAGUAGAUGGAAGGGUGGAAACAUUUAAAGUAAGAUUAAUAACCAAAGGGUAUACUCAGAAAGAAGGAAUCGAUUGUGAUGAAACAUUUUCACCGGUUGCUAUGCUUAAAUCCAUUAGGAUUCUGCUUUCUAUUGCUACAAUGUUGUAUUAUGAAAUUUGGCAAAUGAAUGUCAAAAGGAUAUCUUGAAGAAGACAUCUAUAUGUAGCAACCAGAUGGGUCCAUUAAAAAAGGCCAAGAACAUAUGGUAUGUAAGUUGUAAAAAUCUAUUUAUGGAUUAAAGCAAGCAUCUCGUUCAUAAAACAUCAGAUUUGAUCAAACAAUUAAAACGUUUGGAUUCAUACAAAAUAUUGAUGAGUCAUGUGUAUACAAAAAAAAUUCAGGGAAAAAUUGUAGCUUUUCUGGUUCUUUAUGUAGGUGACAUUCUCUUAAUUGAAAAUGAUAUCGGAGUAUUAUCAUCAAUAAAGAAUUGGUUGGCUAAACAAUUUCAUAUGAAAGACUUAAGAGAGGCAAGUUAUAUUCUUAUGAUCAAAUUGCUUUGAGACCGGAAGAAUAAAACGCCUUAUCGCAAACUGCUUACAUUGAUAAAAUACUAGCUAGAUUUGGCAUGGAAAAUUCUAAUAUUGGUUUGUUACCAUUCAGGCAUAGAAUUACAUUCUCCAAAGAUCAGUUGCCCAAGGUGUUGAGUGUUAGAAAAUACAUAUUUAUAAAGGAGAAAACCGUCAUUUUACAUUUUAAAUCUUACUAACAACCCUUACUUUUAUGUAUUUAACCUUCUUGUGAUUUAAUUACAUGUUACGAUACUGUUCACAUAGACGGAUCGCGUGGCAUUGACUGAUGAUGUGGCAUUGACCGAUGAUGUGGCAUUGACUGAUGAGGUGUCACGAUCCUGUUGGACUAAAAUUCUUAUGUAUUGUUGAUGGAGACGUGGCAGCAUAUCAGUGGACGAAAAAUCUCGUGUACGGUGCAUGCAUCACACAGGAUUAUUUUCAACAUCAACGUGUUACUGUUCAUCCAGGUCAAACCGUGUUACUGUUCAUCCACGUGGUCAAACCGUGGACUGUUGACUGAUGACGUGGCGCAGUACAGCAGAGCUUGGGUUGAAGGUGAAGUCUCAACAUGUGUCAUGGGCUUAAUUUGGUAAAUUUAUUUUCUCUUCCCCUCUAGUUUUUGUGGAUGUUUUGACUUCUCGUCGACAAAUAAUACUAAUCUUGUCUAGUACCGCCUUGGUUACACCGGCUCUCUAGUAUAAGGUUAUUAUUAUUUGGCACGAUAAGCCCUUAGCACCAUAUUGAUUAGAGCGUGGUUCAUGAGGUGUGGAUUCCCCCCUCAUGAUUUAAUUGGCAUUAAUACGGAUUAUUUAGCCCAUGAUGCAUGUUGAUACGGAUCCAGAUACCCAAGUACUUCAUUUCAAUAGAAUUCUCUUCAAUUUAUUCUCGUCAUUUCAAUUCCAAUUUUAGAAUUUAUUCUCGCCAUUUUAAUUUAAGUUUUAGCAUAUUCCAAAUCAUUUCCACCACAAAUCCAAUCCCCGAUUUACAAAAUUAAUUCUAUACACAAUUAAAAUCCACCUCCUCGUGGGAUCGACACUCGUCACCAUUAGUCUAUACUACAAUAGAUUUGUGUGCUUGCGAGUACAUUAAAAUUUGCACAACACAAGGCACCUAAGGAAAGAGAAAAAUGAGGCAAGUUCCCUAUGCACAAGCUGUGGGAAGUCUCAUGUAUGUCAUGCUAUGUACUAGAUUAGACAUUUGUUUUACAGCAGAGAUAGUCUGUAGAUAUCAAUCUAAUCAUUAUCCUGAACACUGGACUGCAGUCAAGCAUAUAAUUAAAUAUCUGAAAAGAACUAAGAAUCAUAUACUUGUGUAUUCUGGUGAUGAUCUCAUUCUAGUGGGUUACAUUGAUUCUGACAUCACAUCAGAUAAAGAUGUCAGAAAAUUAACUUUCCGGUUACGUGUUUACAUUAGGAAGUGGACCUGUGAGUUGGAGGAGUGUGAAACAAAGUUGUAUCGCAAACUCCACUACAAAUGCUGAAUAAGUGGUUGCAUUUGAAGCUGCUAAGAAGUUGUUUGGCUCUGUAAGUUCCUGCAAGAUUUUGAGGUGGUACAUGCACUAACUUCACCUCUUAAACUAUUUUGUGAUAAUAGCGAUGUAAUGGCUCAGUCAAAGGAACUAAGAAACCACAAGAAGCAAAAACAUAUAGAAAGGAAAUACCAUCUCAUAAGAGAAAUAGUGCAAAGAGGUGAUGUAGAAGUUACCAAGAUUGCCUCAUAACAAAACUAGCAGAUCCUUUUAUAAAGGCAAUACUUGGGAAACUUUUUAACUUACACUUAGAAUGUAUGGACAUGCGUGUGUUGCCACAUAUGCUUUGAGAGCUAGUGAGAGAUUGUUGGGAUUAUGCGCUCUUUAAAGCAUAUUGAUUUAUUUAUUUUCUUAUUAAUAAAAUAUUUGAGAUAUUUUUCAAAAAUCUUAAUUAUAUAAAUAUUUUGAAUAAGGUCCAUUUAAUCAUAUUAUAUGUAUUUUUGUGAUUAUCAUAUGGAUUCACAAUAGAUAUAAAUAUAAAUUAUCUUAUGAUUAAAUAAUACAUAAAAUUGGACAUCUAUUUAUGUUUAGACCGUAGUAAAUUCACCGGAUGAUUUGCAUGAAAUAGUUGUGAAGGACUUCAGUAAUUCAAGUACUUCAAAACUAUGCUUUUUAUUAAUUUUAGUUUUCCACCAAGUGCAGUGUUACAUAUUUACCUAUUAAGUGAUAAUUCCCUUCUCUAUGUAGUUAUAUGCGCCGUGAAACAGCACAAGACAUAUUUGUGAAUUUUAAAGAGUUGUUUUUUUACAAUGGAAACAAACUCCCUUUUGCUGCUGCCCAGAUUGGCCAGACUUUUAGGAAUGAGGUUUAUAAUAAUUCUCUUAGGUUUACAUCUUGUGCUUUUUUCUUUUUUUGGCUGGGGGAACGGAAUUUGAUAGUGUUUAAUGGAUUAAAAUUGCAUGUAGUUUCAACUAUUACUGCUAAUUUUUCUUGGUUUUUGAGAUUUUUAUGCAAAAUGUACAUUUCUCUGUGUUUGUGUGCAUUUGGCAGUGUGAAUCAGAGAGAGCAUAUAAGUUUAUUAAAAUCUUUUGACAUGUACAGAUAUCACCUUGCCAAGGCCUUAUUAGAGUUUGUGAAUUCACACUUGCAGAAAUUGAGCACUUUGUUGCUCCUCAAGACAAAUCUCACCCAAAAUUCUCAAAAGUCGCGAACUUAGAGUUCUUGAUGUUCCCAAGGGAGGAACAGAUGUCAAGUAAAUUGUAUAUACGAGGUAGUUUCCGUUCUCUUUCCUCUGCCUAUUGUGAAAAUAUUGAAGUGAAAGUUGUUGAAUAUACCAGGAUCAUUUGAGGGAGCUUGUCCCUCCACAAAUAAUGUCGGUGUUUUCAAAUUCAGAGAGUCUACCUCCUGUUGUUUAUUGUUGGAAUUUAAAUAAAAAAAGAUUACAACUAUCCUCCCAAGACUAUAGGCAUAUGUCAGCAAAAUAGCUAACAAACUAACUUGGACUCUAACAGCUAACUUGACUUAUUCAAACAAUAAAAGAAACAAAUAAAAUAAAGGGAAAAGCUACUUACCCCGAUUUUAGACCCGUUUGGGGCAGCUGCGCUGCCACCGCGCAGCUGCGCUGCCACCGCGCAGCUGCUCCCCAGGCCAAUUCUGGAGGAAUAUUCUUCUAAAAUUGGCCUGGGGAGCAGCUGCGCGGUGGAAGCGCAGCUGCCCCAAACGGGUCCUUUAAACCCUGAAACUGCGCCCCAAAUAUUGUCAAAACGGUGCGUUUUGCUUUGAUUUCUUUUUUGCUUUGACUGUUUUCCUUUUGCGUCGAUUGCUUUUUUGCUUUGAUUGCUUUCCCAUUUAGUUCCACAUGUGCAGCACGUGAACAUUUUCUUUCUUCUUCUAUUUGCACAAGCGUGAACCACAACACUCCGCUUUGCAGACUGAGGAGAGGAUCAACUUUAUGAAAGAUUUGAAGAUGCAUUAAUUGAAUGUGGGAGAAAAUUACUUCAGUUUUGCUUCAGCUUGUUUCAUUGAACCAGAUUUCAGUAACACGGUUGCUACUCCUAUCUGAAUAAUGAAUAUCAUAGUAGCACAAUCAAGCAACCUUUAUGCAGAUUACUACAGAAUUAUUGUCAGAUUUACCAAGCUGGUGAAUACUGAAACUUCUGCCACAUGUCACAAUGGGGAGUCUCCUUUAUAAAACCCCACUGCUGCGGCUGAAUCUCUAACCGGCAAUUUUGUGCAAGAAUAGUAAAGUAAUCCUUUUCAACUUGCUUUUCCAGCCUCACUCUCUGAACACUACCCAGCGGAUAGUCCUGCUCAAAUUUGCUAGACUUCACAUAAAAAUUCACCCCUCUUUCCGUUGUAAACUUGUACUCAUAAGGGUAAGACCUCGACAAGGCAUAAAUUGGAUCAGAAGACGGCAAAAACUGCAAGAGAAUUAUCAAAAUCACAGGCAACAACUGAAUCAACGCACAUAAAUUAAACCCAUCAAAGCCAUCAACGCACGUAACUGAAUCAACGCACGUAAUAAUCUUUCGUUUUCUUAAUCUGUCUCACGAUCGCGAUUUGCUCUUCCAUGUACGCCGGAGAGGACGAAGAAGAAGCUGAGGCAGACGCGCCAGUUGAUGGGCCCCGGUGUCGGAUCGUCGAUUGAUCGGACGGCUUUGAAGCAGCAGCGACAGAGAGCUCGGUCUUGAAGGAAGCAGCAGCGCCAGUGACCACAAGAUGAUAGGAUUAAACGAAAAGGAAGCAAAGGUCCGUUUCUGUGGUUUGGCAAAACCGCAAAAGAAAGAAAAUGAAGAAACAUGGGUUAAACGCACCGUUUUCAAUUUUAUCAAAAUGGUGCGUGUUAAAUUCGGGGCGCGUUUCGGGGUUAAAAAUCGGGGUGAAUAGCAGCACUCAAUAAAUUAACUGGAAAAAUAUAGAACAUGUAAUAGUAAAUCUAAAAAGAGGAUUCCACUAGGUGAAGCUGUUUUAAAGGUUGGUUUAAAAUUGUUUUUAAUUUUACCAUUUCUUGUCCAAUCACAUUUUUGGCCUCUGUACCACUUCACGUGCUCUUCUUGUAUUCUCUCCAUUGUUGUUCAGGGAAUAGUAAACAAUGAAACUCUUGGCUAUUUCAUUGGACGAGUAUAUCUCUUUCUAGCAUGCCUUGGUAUAGAUAAAGAGCGUUUGCGGUUCCGGCAGCAUCUUGCAAAUGAAAUGGCUCAUUAUGCGGCAAACUGUUGGGAUGCUGAGAUUGAGUGUUCGCAUGGGUGGAUUGAAUGUGUUGGUAUUGCAGAUAGAUCUACGUAUGACCUGCAUGCUCACACAGUAAUAGAUUGAUAUACAUUUUCUGGAUAAGUUUUAUAAAAAUAUUCCUAGACUAGAUAAUUGUAAAGUCAUUUUCACAUCAGCUACUAUUUUAAGGAGACAUUUAUAAGUGCUAGAAGCAUAACAAAUUCACAACAUAAGUUGUAGUAUAUCUUUUUUGCUGUCUGAACAUUGUUGUGCUUCGAACUAAUUGAAUUUUUUCCGCCCUCGUUCGCAAAACAGGAAAAGAGUGGUGUUGCGCUUCUAGCUCAGAGAAAUUUUCAGAAACUAGGGAAGUGGAGGUAUGUUUUUUUGUGCUUAUUACACUUCUUGUUGCUUGUUAUUAAUUAUAUGAAGUAUAACAUGCGUGCUAAGCAUUUCUUUUUCAUGUGGGGUGUGAGAAAUAUGAUUGCUUGCAACGUUUUCCAGAAAUUGGUAAUUGCUCCAGUGAAGAAAGAGUUGGGUCUUGCAUUCAAGGGAAGCCAAAAGAAUGUGGUUGAAGCUUUGGAGGUAAGUAUAAAAUAGUCUUUCUGUUGUUGAUGCUGUAAGUUUAGGAAGUGCUGCCAGUACAUAGAUUAUAAGUUCCUUUCCCAUUAGGCUAUGAAUGAGAAAGAAGCUAUGGAGAUGAAGGCCGCAUUGGAAUCGAAAGGGGAGGUGGAGUUUUAUGUCUGCACUCUGGGAAAAAAUGUUUGCAUUUAGAAGAACAUGUUGUUAAUUUCUAAGGAGAAAAAGAAAGAACACCAGAGAGUUUUCAUCCCAUUAGUUAUAGAGCCAUCUUUUGGCAUUGGUCGGAUUAUAUACUGCCUCUAUGAGCACUCUUUCUAUACUAGGCCAAGUAAAGCUGGGGAUGAACAGUUAAAUGUUUUCCGUUUCCCCCCUCUUGUGGCACCUAUUAAGUGCACUGUUUUCCCACUGGUUCAGAAUCAACAGCAUGAUGAGGUUGCCAAAGUCAUUUCCAAGUUAU
rnacentral:lncRNA from 1 species